CACAAUCUGAUCGGCUUUAAGGUGCGCUGCGGGAGCAGGCGGGCUUGGGUCGCGCAUGCGCUUUUUUGCGGAAAAUAGGAGGUGGGGCUCGGGCGCAAUGGUGGGCGUGAUUGGCAGGGCCCUGCCCCUCUAACGGGUCCUGCCGACAUUUCCGAGAAGAAAA